rnacentral:rRNA from 1 species
UACGUAGGUGACAAGCGUUGUCCGGAUUUACUGGGCGUAAAGAGCGCGCAGGCGGUCGUUCAAGUCGAGUGUGAAAGCCCCCGGCUCAACUGGGGAGGGUCACUCGAUACUGAUCGACUUGAAGGCAGGAGAGGGAAGCGGAAUUCCCGGUGUAGUGGUGAAAUGCGUAGAUAUCGGGAGGAACACCAGUGGCGAAGGCGACUACCUGGCCUGUUUCUUGACGCUGAGGCGCGAAAGCUAGGGGAGCAAACGGG